CUUUUUAUUAACCAGGUUUUCAACGAAAACCGGGUUAUUGUAAUGCCGAAGUCGGCGGGCGGGCGGGCAGGCGUCAACUUUUGGUUUCCGCUCAAUAACUUGAGUUUGCUUUGGCCUAUUGACACCAAACUUGGUGUGUAGGUAGCUUAUAUCAAGAGGCAGCUUGGGAUUGCUACCCAGGUGUCUGUGAUCAAGGUCAAGGUCACUGUUACUAAAAAUAGAAAUUCAGUUUCCGCUCAAUAACUUGAGUUUGCUUUGGCCUAUUGACACCAAACUUGGUGUAUGGAUAGCUUAUAUCAAGAGGCAGCUUGGGAUUGCUACCCAGGUGUCUUUGAUCAAGGUCAAGGUCACUGUUACUAAAAAUAGAAAUUCAGUUUCUGCUCAAUAACUUGAGUUUGUUUUGACCUAUUGACACCAAACUUGGUGUAUGGAUAGCUUAUAUCAAGACGCAGCUUGGGAUUGCUACCCAGGUGUCUGUGAUCAAGGUCAAGGUCACUGUUACUAAAAAUAGAAAUUCAGUUUCUGCUCCAUAACUUGAGUUUGAUUUGGCCUAUUGACACCAAACUUGGUGUAUGGAUAGCUUAUAUCAAGAGGCAGCUUGGGAUUGCUACCCAGGUGUCUGUGAUCAAGGUCAAGGUCACUGUUACUAAAAAUAGAAAUUCAGUUUCCGCUCAAUAACCUGAGUUUGCUUUGACCUAUUGACACCAAACUUGGUGUAUGGAUACCUUAUAUCAAGAGGCAGCUUGGGAUUGCUACCCAGAUGUCUGUGAUCAAGGUCACUGUUACUAAAAAUAGAAAUUCAGUUUCUGCUCAAUAACUUGAGUUUGCUUUGGCCUAUUGACACCAAACUUGAUGAAUGGGUAGCUUAUAUCAAGGGGUAGCUUGGGAUUGCUACCCAGGUGUCUGUAAUCAAGGUCAAGGUCACUGUUACUAAAAAUAGAAAUUCAGUUUCCGCUCAAUAAUUUGAGUUUGCUUUGGCCUAUUGACACCAAAUUUGGUGUUUUGGUAGCUUAUAUUAAGAGGCAGCUUGGGAUUGAUACCCAGGUGUCUGUGAUUAAGGUCAAGGUCACUGUUACUAAAAAUAGAAAUUCAGUUUCAGCUCAAUAACUUGAGUUUGCUUUGGUCUAUUGACACCAACUUGGUGUAUGGAUAGCUUUUAUCAAGAGGCAGCUUGGGAUUGCUAUCCAGGUGUCUGUGAUCAAGGUCAAGGUCACU